rnacentral:lncRNA from 1 species
UGUAGAAGUUAAUUUUCAAGUUAACUUUUGGUUCAAUAUAUAAAACGGCCAUAACGGAUAUAUUUGAAAAUCCGUUAUAUAGUACAGCAAGAUUCCAAUCCUUCUAACCAUAUAAAUCCUUAAGUACAGUAAUAGGACAAAUUUAUGGAAUUAUGGAGUUGACAAGAUAAAUUAGAAUAUUUCAAAAUUCAUAUAUGAAAUUCAUAUCGCCGAUAAUCAUAUAACUCCACAGCCCGUUCUGUCAUUAUAAUAAGAGACGCUAAAGAACUGUGGUGAUAUAUGAUUUUAAGAUUUGGAAAUAAAUUAAAUUGGUGUCACAAAUGGUAUGUCUGCUUGUAUUUGAAAUAAUAUAUAAAAUAUAUAUAAUGUUCAUAUACAUAAUGGUUGUUUUACUUCGCUUAUUUAUAGCAUUUAAAUACCUUCGUUUUCGUAUUUUCAGCAUCAAAUAAAAAGUAUAAUAGAAUCCUAUCCGCAAAAGUUAAAUAAAGUAGAUGUAAGAAAUGAAUAGGUCAUAUGUACUUUAAGAAAUAAUUCAAUUGAGAAAACUAACGGCCCAAUUCAUAAGGUUUAUAAUUCAUUUAAUAGUUACAUUAUGUUUACUUUGUCAGAAUAAGGAGAUGUAUGAUUGCAAAUGAGACCACAAAUUUAAAACGAAAUGCAUGUAAGCAAGUAUAGGCAUGCAACAAUGCGGCUUUCAACAAUGAGAAAUACCCAUACCGUAUAUAGUAAACUUUAUACAUAAAAGCCUCCUACAUGAGCAGAAAACGACAGUAGUGAGAGUGAUGCAUUGCUAAGAAAGAGAGAAAAAAUAAUAAUUGUUUAAGAAUACAGACAUGAAACACACCUGGGUGUUGAAACAGUAACGAUUGCGAUGUACUCAAAUUGGUGACAAAUGCUAGAAGCUUACAUGCGGACAACUGCAGUUCUCCUCUGCACUUAUGUAGAAAGGAACUAAACGGAAUAAAAAAUUAAAACUUAAGAUAACCAAAUGUAGCUACAUUCGCUCCUUUCCAUUCUCUAGAAUGAUUUGUAAACAACAUAUGAUUAAGUAAUAGAAGAAAAGAAC